rnacentral:rRNA from 1 species
GACGAACGCUGGCUGCGUGCCUAAUACAUGCUAGUCGAGCGAAGCGGCGGAUGGGUGUGUAACGCGUGGGUAACCUGCCCAUAAGGCUGGGAUACCAUUUGGAAACAGAUGCUAAUACCGGUUACUAAAGGAUGGACCUGCGACGCAUUAGCGAGUUGGGAAGGUAACGGCUUACCAUGGCGAUGAUGCAUAGCCGAGUUGAGCGACUGAUCGGCCACAUUGGGACUGAGACACGGCCCAAACUCCUACGUGAGGCAGCAGUAGGGAAUCUUCCACAAUGGACGAAAGUCUGAUGGAGCAACGCCGCGUGAGUGAAGAAGGUUUUCGGAUCGUAAAGCUCUGUUGUUGGUGAAGCGGUAAUCAACCAGAAAGGCACGGCUAACUACGUGCCAGCAGCCGCGGUAAUUC